GCCAGUGUAGUGUAGUGGUUUCUGUAUUGGACUGUGACUCUGGAGACCAGGGUUCAAAUCCCUGCUUGGCCA